rnacentral:lncRNA from 1 species
CACUGAUUGUGGGGGCUUGGCCGUCCCACCGGCUUUGGCCAACAGCCUGUGGGCAGAAGUGACAGAGGAUUGAAAUGCGCUUGGGAGCUGGACUUGGGCUCUGCACUCUUGAUUUGCUAAGAGCACAUUCCUGGCUGGUCUGUUGGCCAAAAAGGUGGAGACUCAAGGGGAAAAGCUGAACCCCACCUGGCGCAGGGAGCCAGCUCCAGCUGCGCUGAGGGUGACGUUUUGAGACACAGUGUCAUUUUCCUCAGCGUUAUUAUGGCAACGGCUGGAUUAGAGAUCGAACAAACCACUUCCUCAUCCAGAACGUGGGCCCUCCUACCAACCACAGCGUGUAAGGUGCCUGGGGCGUUCAGCAGGCCACGGACUCUGUGCUCACGUCCCCCCCAUCCAGGGCUCUACCCCUGGGGGACCUGAGCGUGCAAGCAGAGUUGGACACGGGGCCCAAUCCCAUGAUCCUGGGAUCAUGACCUGAGUUGGAAAACACAUUGGAUGCUAAAACGACCGAGCUGCCCUUAAGAUGAAAUUUGUGAAAGUUCAUCUUAGCCAGCAUUUUGGGAACUCAGUAGUGGGAGGUGCUUCAAAGCUGGUGGAAUCUGGGAGCCUCACAUGGGAGAGCAGCAGCCAAGGGCCUGGGGCUGAUCCCAGCACAUCUGCCCUCAGUGCUCACCAGAGGGCAGCGUGGAGUCGUGUGGAGCCCGGUCUCUGUUCCUGGCAAAGAUGAGGACCCCCUGAGCCCAGCCAUGAGCCGGCGCCCGACGCAGGAGCCCUCUGCACCCUGGCCAUGGAGCUGCUGACCCUGCCACCACCCCCCAGAGUGGAUGUAUCCGAGCCCCCCUGUCACGGAGAUGUGAACAUGGCUGCACACGCUCUUCCACUUGGUAGAGGUGAGCCUUCCCUCAGGGUG